rnacentral:rRNA from 1 species
GACGAACGCUGGCGGCGUGCUUAACACAUGCAAGUCGAACGGAAAGGCCCUGCUCUUGUUGGGCUCUCGAGAGGCGAACGGGGGAGUAACACGUGUGUAACAUGCACUUGUCUUUGGGAGAACUCCAGGAAACUGGGGCUCUUACCGGAGAGAAGAUCUUGCUGCAUGUGGUGCGUUGGAGAGUUACGGCGGUUGUGGAUGGACUCGCGGCUUAUCAGCUUGUUGGUGGGGUAGUGGCUGACCAAGGUUUUGACGGGUAGCCGGCCUGAGAGGGUGACCGGCCACAUUGGGACUGAGAUACGGCCCAGACUCCUACGGGAGGCAGCAGUGGGGAAUAUUGCACAAUGGGCGGAAGCCUGAUGCAGCAACGCCGCGUGCGGGAUGACGGCCUUCGGGUUGUAAACCGCUUUCGCCUGUGACGAAGCGUGAGUGACGGUAAUGGGUAAAGAAGCACCGGCUAACUACGUG